AUUAGUAACUAAAAAUUGCAACCCUGCUACAUUUUUACCAUCCAACAAAUUGACAACAUUGUGGCGGCAAAAAAGCAAUAAUUGUGAUUGAAUUGUGCUCAGUUGGCGGGGAAAUAAACAACAAACGAACAUCGAUUUUCAGACUAAAAUUUUAUAAUAUUUUGCUUUUCUUGCUGUCAAUUUAUGAAAAUCGAAGAAAUUAAAGUGUUGUCCGAGAAGCUGCUGUUCUAGUUGCGAAUUUGUCAAAAAACAAGAAAAUGCUGGUCUUGUCUCACAGCUGAGGUACCAUCCGGUACGGGCAAAGCUGCAAUUGCUCCAGUUAUUGCACAGGAAUUAGGCAAUAAGGUUAAGGUAACAUUCUGCACAUGAUGAGUUCGGAGAUGUUCCGCAGUGACACCUUUGCAACGGAAUUGGAUUUGGAGACCGAGGGUUGGUUGUGUUAUACGUGACACCACAGACACUGCCUCACCUCAUGGCAUUCCCUUGGAUUUACCUGAUCUAUGGCUCAUCAUAGGCAUCUUGCCAUAGCAUUCCAGUGAAAUAUGGAACAACUCAUAAUGUUAAAUGGAGAACCUGCAAUUUGAAGAGUCUGCCUUUAAACGUCUCAAUGACGUUGACUGUCCAGUUGCAUAUUGAUGAUAUUCAUGCCUUAUUCUUGGGUGCAAGACGUUCAUCGAAUCGUCUAUACGAGAAGAAUACAAAAUGUAUGAUGAAAUCUAUGGAAUUGACUCACACUGACAUUAUUUGCUAUAUUUCAUACCUGUCACAUUCCUUACUUACCCACAUAUUUUAGCAAUAAAAAAACAAUAGUUUGCCUGCCAUUA